rnacentral:rRNA from 1 species
CUACGUGCCAGCAGCCGCGGUAAUACGUAGGGUGCGAGCGUUAAUCGGAAUUACUGGGCGUAAAGCGAGCGCAGACGGUUACUUAAGCAGGAUGUGAAAUCCCCGGGCUCAACCUGGGAACUGCGUUCUGAACUGGGUGACUAGAGUGUGUCAGAGGGAGGUAGAAUUCCACGUGUAGCAGUGAAAUGCGUAGAGAUGUGGAGGAAUACCGAUGGCGAAGGCAGCCUCCUGGGAUAACACUGACGUUCAUGCUCGAAAGCGUGGGUAGCAAACAGGAUUAGAUACCCUGGUAGUCCACGCCCUAAACGAUGUCGAUUAGCUGUUGGGCAGCUUGACUGCUUAGUAGCGUAGCUAACGCGUGAAAUCGACCGCCUGGGGAGUACGGUCGCAAGAUUAAAACUCAAAGGAAUUGACGGGGACCCGCACAAGCGGUGGAUGAUGUGGAUUAAUUCGAUGCAACGCGAAGAACCUUACCUGGUCUUGACAU